ensembl:piRNA 21ur-3406 ncRNA
UAGUACGAUGUCCACUUAAAA